rnacentral:rRNA from 1 species
UGGGAAUUUGGACAAUGGGCGAAGCCUGAUCCAGCAAUGCCGCGUGUGUGAAGAAGGCCUUCGGGUUGUAAAGCACUUUUGUCCGGAAAGAAAUCCUUGGCUCUAAUACAGUCGGGGGAUGACGGUACCGGAAGAAUAAGCACCGGCUAACUACGUGCCAGCAGCCGCGGUAAUACGUAGGGUGCAAGCGUUAAUCGGAAUUACUGGGCGUAAAGCGUGCGCAGGCGGUUUGCUAAGACCGAUGUGAAAUCCCCGGGCUCAACCUGGGAAACUGCAUUGGUGACUGGCAGGCUAGAGUAUGGCAGAGGGGGGUAGAAUUCCACGUGUAGCAGUGAAAUGCGUAGAGAUGUGGAGGAAUACCGAUGGCGAAGGCAGCCCCCUGGGCCAAUACUGACGCUCAUGCACGAAAGCGUGGGGAGCAAACAGGAUUAGAUACCCUGGUAGUCCACGCCCUAAACGAUGUCAACUAGUUGUUGGGGAUUCAUUUCCUUAGUAACGUAGCUAACGCGUGAAGUUGACCGCCUGGGGAGUACGGUCGCAAGAUUAAAAACUCAAAGGAAUUGACGGGGUCAUAGCUGUUUCCU